AGAAUCAACGCUGGCGGCGUGCCUCAGACAUGCAAGUCGAACGAGAAAGUCCCCUUCGGGGGAUAAGUAAAGUGGCGCACGGGUGAGUAACACGUAGGUAAUCUACCUUCGGGUGGGGAAUAACCCAGGGAAACUUGGGCUAACACCGCAUAAUGCAGCGGCACCACAUGGUGACAGUUGUUAAAGCGGGGGAUUUUAGGACCUCGCGCCUGAAGAGGAGCCUGCGGCGGAUUAGCUAGUUGGUGAGGUAACGGCUCACCAAGGUAACGAUCCGUA
rnacentral:rRNA from 1 species